rnacentral:rRNA from 1 species
GGUUAAGCGACUAAGCGUACACGGUGGAUGCCCUGGCAGUCAGAGGCGAUGAAGGACGUGCUAAUCUGCGAAAAGCGUCGGUAAGGUGAUAUGAACCGUUAUAGCCGGCGAUGUCCGAAUGGGGAAACCCAGUGCAAUUCGUUGCACUAUCGUUAACUGAAUACAUAGGUUAACGAGGCGAACCGGGGGAACUGAAACAUCUAAGUACCCCGAGGAAAAGAAAUCAACCGAGAUUCCCCCAGUAGCGGCGAGCGAACGGGGAGCAGCCCAGAGUCUGAAUCAGCUUGUGUGUUAGUGGAACGGCCUGGAAAGUCCGACGGUACAGGGUGAUAGUCCCGUACACCAAAAUGCACAGGCUGUGAACUCGAAGAGUAGGGCGGGACACGUGGUAUCCUGUCUGAAUAUGGGGGGACCAUCCUCCAAGGCUAAAUACUCCUGACUGACCGAUAGUGAACCAGUACCGUGAGGGAAAGGCGAAAAGAACCCCGGCGAGGGGAGUGAAAAAGAACCUGAAACCGUGUACGUACAAGCAGUGGGAGCACCUUCGGGUGUGACUGCGUACCUUUUGUAUAAUGGGUCAGCGACUUAUAUUCUGUAGCAAGGUUAACCGUAUAGGGGAGCCGCAGGGAAACCGAGUCUUAACUGGGCGUUAAGUUGCAGGGUAUAGACCCGAAACCCGGUGAUCUAGCCAUGGGCAGGUUGAAGGUUGGGUAACACUAACUGGAGGACCGAACCGACUAAUGUUGAAAAAUUAGCGGAUGACUUGUGGCUGGGGGUGAAAGGCCAAUCAAACCGGGAGAUAGCUGGUUCUCCCCGAAAGCUAUUUAGGUAGCGCCUCGUGAACUCAUCUUCGGGGGUAGAGCACUGUUUCGGCUAGGGGGUCAUCCCGACUUACCAACCCGAUGCAAACUACGAAUACCGAAGAAUGUUAUCACGGGAGACACACGGCGGGUGCUAACGUCCGUCGUGAAGAGGGAAACAACCCAGACCGCCAGCUAAGGUCCCAAAGUCAUGGUUAAGUGGGAAACGAUGUGGGAAGGCACAGACAGCCAGGAUGUUGGCUUAGAAGCAGCCAUCAUUUAAAGAAAGCGUAAUAGCUCACUGGUCGAGUCGGCCUGCGCGGAAGAUGUAACGGGGCUAAACCAUGCACCGAAGCUGCGGCAGCGACACUAUGUGUUGUUGGGUAGGGGAGCGUUCUGUAAGCCUGCGAAGGUGUGCUGUGAGGCAUGCUGGAGGUAUCAGAAGUGCGAAUGCUGACAUAAGUAACGAUAAAGCGGGUGAAAAGCCCGCUCGCCGGAAGACCAAGGGUUCCUGUCCAACGUUAAUCGGGGCAGGGUGAGUCGACCCCUAAGGCGAGGCCGAAAGGCGUAGUCGAUGGGAAACAGGUUAAUAUUCCUGUACUUGGUGUUACUGCGAAGGGGGGACGGAGAAGGCUAUGUUAGCCGGGCGACGGUUGUCCCGGUUUAAGCAUGUAGGCUGGUUGUCCAGGCAAAUCCGGAUAAUCAAGGCUGAGGUGUGAUGACGAGGCACUACGGUGCUGAAGUAACAAAUGCCCUGCUUCCAGGAAAAGCCUCUAAGCAUCAGGUAACAUUAAAUCGUACCCCAAACCGACACAGGUGGUCAGGUAGAGAAUACCAAGGCGCUUGAGAGAACUCGGGUGAAGGAACUAGGCAAAAUGGUGCCGUAACUUCGGGAGAAGGCACGCUGGUGUGUAGGUGAAGUCCCUGCGGAUGGAGCUGAGACCAGUCGAAGAUACCAGCUGGCUGCAACUGUUUAUUAAAAACACAGCACUGUGCAAACACGAAAGUGGACGUAUACGGUGUGACGCCUGCCCGGUGCCGGAAGGUUAAUUGAUGGGGUUAUCCGUAAGGAGAAGCUCUUGAUCGAAGCCCCGGUAAACGGCGGCCGUAACUAUAACGGUCCUAAGGUAGCGAAAUUCCUUGUCGGGUAAGUUCCGACCUGCACGAAUGGCGUAAUGAUGGCCAGGCUGUCUCCACCCGAGACUCAGUGAAAUUGAACUCGCUGUGAAGAUGCAGUGUACCCGCGGCAAGACGGAAAGACCCCGUGAACCUUUACUAUAGCUUGACACUGAACAUUGAGCCUUGAUGUGUAGGAUAGGUGGGAGGCUUUGAAGCGUGGACGCCAGUCUGCGUGGAGCCAACCUUGAAAUACCACCCUUUAAUGUUUGAUGUUCUAACGUUGGCCCCUUACCGGGGUUGCGGACAGUGUCUGGUGGGUAGUUUGACUGGGGCGGUCUCCUCCCAAAGCGUAACGGAGGAGCACGAAGGUUAGCUAAUCCUGGUCGGACAUCAGGAGGUUAGUGCAAUGGCAUAAGCUAGCUUGACUGCGAGCGUGACGGCGCGAGCAGGUGCGAAAGCAGGUCAUAGUGAUCCGGUGGUUCUGAAUGGAAGGGCCAUCGCUCAACGGAUAAAAGGUACUCCGGGGAUAACAGGCUGAUACCGCCCAAGAGUUCAUAUCGACGGCGGUGUUUGGCACCUCGAUGUCGGCUCAUCACAUCCUGGGGCUGAAGUAGGUCCCAAGGGUAUGGCUGUUCGCCAUUUAAAGUGGUACGCGAGCUGGGUUUAGAACGUCGUGAGACAGUUCGGUCCCUAUCUGCCGUGGGCGCUGGAGAAUUGAGGGGGGCUGCUCCUAGUACGAGAGGACCGGAGUGGACGCAUCACUGGUGUUCGGGUUGUCAUGCCAAUGGCACUGCCCGGUAGCUAAAUGCGGAAGAGAUAAGUGCUGAAAGCAUCUAAGCACGAAACUUGCCCCGAGAUGAGUUCUCCCUGAGACUUUAAGUCUCCUGAAGGAACGUUAAAGACGAUGACGUUGAUAGGCCGGGUGUGUAAGCGCAGCGAUGCGUUGAGCUAACCGGUACUAAUGAACCGUGAGGCUUAACCUU